ensembl:lncRNA
AAAGUGUAUGGUCCCAAGAGCAGUGUAUGGGAGCACCAGUUCUACAUUCCUGUCAAAUGAGGGGAUUGUGAGACUUAAAAUUCACCAUUCUGUGGCUCAGCAGUAAAGAAUCCACCUGCAGUGCAGGAGACACAGGUUCAAUCCCUGGGUCAGGAAGCUCACUUGGAGGAGGCAAUGGCAGCCCACUCCAGUACUCUUGCCAGGGAAACCCCAUGGACAGAAGAGCCUGGCAGGCUACAGUGCACAGGGUUGCAAAGAGCCAGAUAGGACUGAGUGAGUGAGCAAACACGCAUACAGUUUGCUAACAUUGCUAAAGAUUUUUGUAUCUACAUUCAUGGAGUAUGCUGCUGCUGCUAAGUAUAUUGGCC